rnacentral:rRNA from 1 species
AAAUGAAUAGACGGGGGCCCGCACAAGCGGUGGAGCAUGUGGUUUAAUUCGAAGCAACGCGAAGAACCUUACCAAGGCUUGACAUGGAGAUGACCACUUCAGAGAUGGAGUUUCCCCUUCGGGGGCAUUUCACACAGGUGGUGCAUGGUUGUCGUCAGCUCGUGUCGUGAGAUGUUGGGUUAAGUCCCGCAACGAGCGCAACCCUUGCGUCCAGUUGCCAGCGAGUAAUGUCGGGCACACUGGAGGGACUGCCGUGGAUAACACGGAGGAAGGUGGGGAUGAUGUCAAAUCAUCAUGCCCCUUAUGUCUUGGGCUACACACGUGCUACAAUGGCUCAAACAGCGUGAAGCAAAGCAGCGAUGCCAAGCGAAUCACGAAAAGGAGCCUCAGUUCGGAUUGUUCUCUGCAACUCGAGAGCAUGAAGUUGGAAUCGCUAGUAAUCGCGAAUCAGCAUGUCGCGGUGAAUACGUUCCCGGGCCUUGUACACACCGCCCGU